UACGUAGGGGGCAAGCGUUGUCCGGAAUCAUUGGGCGUAAAGAGCGUGUAGGCGGCCAGAAAAGUCCGCUGUGAAAACUCGAGGCUCAACUUCGAGCUGUCGGUGGAAACUUUAUGGCUAGAGUCCGGAAGAGGAGAAUGGAAUUCCUGGUGUAGCGGUGAAAUGCGCAGAUAUCAGGAAGAACACCCGUGGCGAAGGCGGUUCUCUGGGACGGUACUGACGCUGAGACGCGAAAGCGUGGGGAGCGAACAGG
rnacentral:rRNA from 1 species